UUUCCUUUGGAAAAAGUAAUAAUACCCAAAGACUUCCGAGGCACUCAAGCAAAUUUCCUGUACCAACCACAGUACAUCCACUUAUUGAUGACCCCUUCAUUCCUGAAUAACUCCAACAACAAUAACUGAUAAAACACUAUAUCCAGAAACCUGCCUCUGUUCUUCCAAUGCCAAAAUUGACUUGCCUGAAACUUUGUAGUCAUGCUGUAACUUGACCCAUGAUGGAUCGUCUAGUUUCUUCCAAGAAAAGGAAUCCACAUCCUAUGGCACAAGAACUCCAAUGGAUCAGCAGUCAAAACUGCCUGCUCCAUAAUAUAACUCUUCUGGAGAGCACACUUCAACCGCAUACUUCUCCCGGUUACUUUAUCCAUCCGCCAGCUUGUUGGUCGCCCAUCAUCAAGUAUAGCAAUAAUAAGCAAAUGCACAAGAAGUUGAAUUUCUUUCAAAUCAGGAGACAAAGGAUUCAGGCAUCUAAUGUUCUACCAUUCUAAUACAACAAUUUUCAGUAAUAACUAGGAAUCAGAACUCAUAAUCAUCAAACAAGAUUUCCAAGGAAUGUACGAAUUUAGAUCCAAAAUUUUCCAAGUCUGUUGCCCUUUGCUCUUUUGGACUUGGGCAGUUUAAUAACAAC
rnacentral:lncRNA from 1 species